UACGUAGGGAGCAAGCGUUGUCCGGAAUCAUUGGGCGUAAAGCGCGCGUAGGUGGCCCCGUAAGUCCGCUGUGAAAGUCAAAGGCUCAACCUUUGAAAGCCGGUGGAUACUGUGGGACUAGAGUACGGAAGAGGCGAGUGGAAUUCCUGGUGUAGCGGUGGAAUGCGCAGAUAUCAGGAGGAACACCAAUAGCGAAGGCAGCUCGCUGGGACGUUACUGACACUGAGGCGCGAAAGCGUGGAGAGCGAACAGG
rnacentral:rRNA from 1 species